GUACUCAUAGCUCACUUGGAAGAGCGUCAGACUACGGAUCUGAAGGUAAGGGGUUCAAAUCCUCUUGAGUACU
rnacentral:tRNA from 1 species